UAGAUUGAAGCCAGAUAUAGGGUAUUUAGCUGUUAACUAAAAUUUCGUGGGUUUGAUUCCUGCCAAUCUAG
rnacentral:tRNA from 1 species